GCCUGCCUGGUGAGCCCAGAGUCAGAAUCGACUCCAAAGUUGCUGGCUCCACAGCACCUGUAUUUAUCACACAACACUGCUCCCGGUGAUGACAAUGCUACACGGACACAAGGCAAAGCCCUGCCUUUGUAAGAACUGGCCGCCUCCAGCAUAAGCCCAAACUUACUGCACGUGAGGGAUUCUGGGAACGGUCUGCACAGCAGAAAAACUGCAUCCUUAACUCAUCCCAAAGGAUGGCCAGCUGGUGGGGCAGCCAGUCGUUUUCAGGAAGAAACAGCCUGGGGAGAAAAACCACCGGACCCAUCAGAUCAGGGCCGACAGCGAAAGGCAGGGAGAGGAGUGUGAAGCCCCACAGGAAGACUCAGCAGAGACCUCAGUGAGAUUAGGAAAUGCCCAUGUAUUUCCCUUAGGAAAAAAAGUCCAGUGACUAAGUGACCGCAACAGCAAUGAGGAGCACUAGGAUUCUUGUGAAGAAAAUGACAAAUAGUUUGACUGAGCCAAAAUACAACGUAUUUAUUUUCUUCACUA